GUUGACUGAGGUUGUUGGUCUGACGGUUUCCAUUCUCAGCUCUAGAAAAUACGGCUAGACACAUCAGCAACCAAGUGGAAAAGUACUGGAGAGAAAGCCUACGAGGGCAGCCUGGCCGUUACGGCAUGGCCCUGCCGAGCACAGGAGCUUCGGACAGCCCUUGGCCGAGGAGCACCCCUGCGUCACAUCCCAUCGUUUCGCUGACGGCCAACGUGGCUCCUCUCAGUUCAGGGCCAUCUGCGAGCGGAGGUUUUGUUCCCGGGAACAAAAGCGCUUCCAGAGUAUCUGCGGUAUUGAUUCCUGGUCCCCAUCCUCAAAAGCCUCAACACUAGCCCUGCAGGCAAAAAAGGAAAGGGAACAUUGGAAAGCCAAGUUUAACCCUUUUAACAGAUACGCCAACAAGAGGGAUGGAUGCUGGUGGAAACAAGAAAAAAGGCCUGUUUGCCACAUCUGGUUUCCUGGAAAAUGUCUUUAUUUUCAGUAGUUUAUGGCUUCUAUCUUCUCUGCAUAAUCCUGCACUGCUUGGUUAAGACAUACGUCCAGAC
rnacentral:lncRNA from 1 species